UACGUAGGUGGCGAGCGUUAUCCGGAAUUAUUGGGCGUAAAGAGUGAGCAGGCGGCAUGAUAAGUUUGAAGUGAAAGCGUUGUGCUUAACACAAUACAGCUCCAAAAACUGUCAAGCUAGAGUGCGAGAGGGGCAAACGGAACUCCAUGUGUAGCGGUGAAAUGCGUAGAUAUAUGGAAGAACACCAGUGGCGAAGGCGGUUUGCUAGCUCGAUACUGACGCUCAGUCACGAAAGCGUGGGGAGCAAAUA
rnacentral:rRNA from 1 species